AUUUAUACAUGAAAGCUAUUGGGGAGGGUGAGUUUUGCCACGAGUAUCUGUGCAGACGCCGAAAGGAGCCUGUUUUUGUACUGCGAUCGUCCUGUGACUCUGGAUCUUGUCUUCUGGCUGGCGCCUCAAUUCCUGCCAGCUGGAUUGGGGGGGCGACACUGCCUGGCGCAGGGACAGAGCGAAUGAGACUACAAAGAAGCAUAAAAUGAAUAGACAAUGCAACCAACCAAAGACCCGGGGCAGCAGCACGCCUACAGGACGGCAUCUUCUCCUCCCCAGCCUAGAAGCCCGGUGAAAUCGAGGAUCUUCCCCCCUAAAACACACACACACAAGAUAUAUGCAAUCAAGCUGCCACCGCUUGGUUAAAAAGCUCAUGGUGCCUAACCCAAAAGGAUCCGGAGCAGGUCCUUGAAUCAGCUGUCUCUUCUUCUAUAGAAUGGGAUGUUUUUUGUAUAUAUUUUUUUCCUUCCUCCUAAACCUGCGCUGGAAAUUGCCGUUGGCUUUAUACAUCUCUAUAGAGGGAGGCUAAAGAGUCUGGCGUGAGAAUGAAGCAAUUUACAAUGCAAAUAGAGGCCUGUGGAGGGACGGAUGCUGCUGCUCACUCGUAACCGCUUGCUGCACCUUAAUAGCUGGUUUUAUUUUCUGAUAUUAAUAGAUGAAUUGUUGCCUAACGCUGCCGGAGAUUACUUGCUGAAAGGAAAAAAAAAA
rnacentral:lncRNA from 1 species